rnacentral:lncRNA from 1 species
GACACCUUCCUCCCUACACUCCCGAAACAGUCUCUCUCUACAACUCUCCUGUCAUAAGCUCCUCCCCCUCAACCCUCCCCCGCCAAUCAUGAGGUGGUAGGGCUAGGCUCUGCCCAGCUGUAGUAAUAAUUGGUGGGGCCAAAUGGGCAAGCUUCACCCUGGAUAGGCCCCUGGAACAGGAUCUCCUUUCUGAUUGGAGGACGAGACACGGUGGCAUAGUGGGCUGACUCGGAGAUAAAUGGAACUCUUCUCAGGCCUAUCAGAGCCCGGGAGCUCCACUAAGACCCUCCCACAGCAUUGUGCGUGCCAAACGUAGCAACUCCCUCGACAUGAGGUUAUCUUCUUCUUCUGUUUCCAUCGCCAAGACAACGGUUACCACCCAGCGACAGUACGGCAGUCGCCACGGUUACGCCAAGCGGUUGUCAGUGACUUGGACGAGGCGGAGCAAAUCACUGCAAGGAAUGUUGGUUGGUACACUCAGCAACAACCAGCGACCAGGGUAGUGUAGACGGGGAGUUACCACGUCCACGUCUGUAACAACGCUAACUCUUAUUCAGCGGUGACCAGUGUUGUCAUCAAGGGCAACGGGAAUGAGAGAGGGAGACCAAAAGGGACAGAGAGAAAGAGGGAGAAAGAGGGAGAAAGAGGGAGAACGAGGGAGAGAGAGAGAGGUAAACGACAAGAGAGAGGGACCCUCAGAGAUGUCUAGGAUUACAGAGAGGAAAUGUGUGUAGAGAGAGAGGGAGAUAGGCAGAAGAGAGAGAGAGAGAAAGAGAGAGAGAGACAAAGACAGAAGAGAGGAAGAGAGAGAUGAAUAGAGGGAUAGGGGGAAGAUGUAAGGGUUGAAGGUGGAGGAUCUCUGCUUAAAUAUAAAAUAGUUAGAAAUGCUGAGUUCAGAGGAGAGGAGAAAGAGAAGAAACAGAGAGAAUGUUUUAAACAGAAUGAAGAUAGAGAGAGAGAGAGGGUGGAUGGAAAAGGAGGGCAGAGAAAGUAAUGGCAGUACAGAGAGAGAGAGAGAGAGAAAGAGAGAGGGGAGAGAAGGGGUGAAAUGAGGGAGAGAGAAAAAAAUAAAUGAGGGAGAGAGAAUAAGAAAUGAGGGAGAGAGAGAAUAAGAAAGGGAAACCAAAAACGUAGAGGAUGUCUCUCCAGCCCAUGCACAGCAGACAGUGAUUUAAAUACUAACUUGGCCCCUCUGAUCAAUGUAAUCCAAGGCUAGACCGAGGUUUAAAAUGAUCAAUGUAAUCCCAGACCAGACUAAGAUUUAAACUGAUCAAUGUAAUCCCAGACCAGACUAAGAUUUAAACUGAUCAAUGUAAUCCCAGACCAGACUAAGAUUUAAACUGAUCAAUGUAAUCCCAGACCAGACUAAGAUUUAAACUGAUCAAUGUAAUCCCAGACCAGACUAAGAUUUAAACUGAUCAAUGUAAUCCCAGGCCAGACUAAGGAAAGGAGCAAAGGCUCACUGCUGAACAUGAGGACGGAGGAAAUCUCAAAUCUCUGCUGUGAUGUGCACCACACAUGGAAUAGAGAUGUGUACCAGAUAUGGAAUAGAGAUGUGUACCAGAUAUGGAAUAGAGAUGUGCACUACAUAGGGAAUAUAGAUGUGUACCACAUAUGGAAUAGAGAUGUGCACCACAUAUGGAAUAGAGAUGUGUACUACACAUGGAAUAGAGAUGUGCACUACAUAUGGAAUAGGGAUGUGUACCACAUAUGGAAUAGAGAUAUGUACCACACAUGGAAUAGAGAUGUGCAUUACAUAGGGAAUAGAGAUGUGCACUACACAUGGAAUAGAGAUGUGCACUACACAUGGAAUAGAGAUGUGCACCACAUACAGAAUAUAGAUGUGUACCAGAUAUGGAAUAGAGAUGUGCACUACAUAUGGAAUAGAGCUGUGCACUACAUAGGGAAUAGAGCUGUGCACUACACAUGGAAUAGAGAUGUGCACUACAUAUGGAGAGCUAUGAUGACCUAGUCUGACUAGAUAAGCGGGUGGAUGGAUGGCUCUGGCAUCGGCCAGCUGGCCUGACAGUGGGGAUCAGAGCAUUAGUGCUGGAUCAAUUAGACAAGAUCAAUCGAUAAGGACAUGUCGGAACUGAGCAGCCAGUGGCGACUACUGAGACUAGGCACACUGAUUUAUGAUAGAGAGAGACAGAGAGAGAGAGAGAGAGAGAGAGGGGAGAGACAGAGAGAGAGAGGAGAGAGAGAGAGAGAGAGAGACUGAGAGAGACUGAGAGAGAGAGACAGAGAGAGAGAGAGAGGAGAGACAGAGAGAGACAGAGAGAGAGACAGAGAGGAGAGACAGAGAGAGAGAGAGAGACAGAGAGAGAGACAGAGAGACAGUGAGAGCGAAGAGAGAUCACACAAUUAUUGAAUCAUGAAUUCUGUAUAGAAUGUAACUGAACAAAAAUACAAACGCAAUAUGUAAAGCAUUGGUCCUAUUUUUCAUGAGCUAAAAUAAAAGAUCCACGAAAUUACACACAUCCCUGUAAAUUAGCCAAGAUAAUCCAUCCUCCUGACAGGUGUGGCAUAUCGACAAGCUGAUUAAACAGCAUGAUCAUUACACAGGUGCACCUUGUGCUCAGGACUAUAAGAGAUCACUCUAAAAUGUGCAGUUGUGUCACACAAUACAAUGUCACAGAUGUGUCAAGUUUUGAGGGAGCGUGCAACUGGCAUGUCCACCAGAGCUGUUGACAGAGAAUUGAAUAUUCAUUUCUCUACCAUAAGCCACCUCCAACAUUGUUUUAAGAAUUUGGCAGUGCGGCCAACUGGCCUCAAAACCGCAGACCACGUGUAUGGCGUCAUGUGUGCGAACGGUUUGUUUAUGUCAACGUUGUGAACAGAGUGCCCCAUGGUGGCGGUGGGGUUAUGGUGUGGGGCAGGCAUAAGCUAUGGACAAGAACACACGUGCAUUUUAUCGAUGGCAAUUUGAAUGCACAGAGAUACCGUGACGAGAUCCUGAGGCCCAUUGUCGUGCCAUUCACCCGCCCUGCCAUCACCUCAUGUUUCAGCACGAUAAUGCACAGCCCCAUGUCGCAAGGAUCUGUACACAAUUCCUGGAAGCUGAAAAUGUCCCAGUUCUUCCAUGGCCUGUAUACUCACCAGACAUGCCACCCAUUGAGCAUGUUUGGGAUGCUCUGGAUUGAUGUGUACUACAGCUUGUUUCAGUUCCUGCCAAUGUCCAGCAACUUCUCACAGCCAUUGAAGAGGAGUGGAACAACAUUCCACAGGCCACAAUCAACAGCCUGAUCAACUGUAUGUGAAGAAGAUGUGUCGAGCUGCAUGUGGGAAGUGGUGGUCAUACUGACUGGUUUUCUGAUCCACACCCCUACCUUUAUUUAAGGUAUCUGUGACCAACAGAUGCAUAUCUGUAUUCCUAGUCAUGUUAAAUCCAUAGAUUACAGCGUAAUGAAUUUAUUUAAAUUGACUGAUUUCCUUCUAUGAACUGUAACUCAGUAAAAUCUGUGAAAUUGUUGCAUGUUGCGUUUAUAUUUUUGUUCAGUAUAUAACAUGAAAUUCCAUCAGGAAUAAUACGACAACAAGGAUUUAUGGAAUUACGGACAAAACAUGGAAUGGAAUUAUCUUGUGGUAUACCAAUGGACAUUUGCAGAUUACGAGGACACAAAUGAAUGUGUCAGAAUAGAGAUCUGUUUAAGUGUUUUUGUGUUCAAAAAGCGAUACAGAAACAGCAAAUGUAGAAUUUCAUAUUUUUUGUGACAUCACUGGUUCCAUUGUGUCACGUGACUCACUUUCAUCCAAUUAGUGAAUGUUUUAGAGAGACCUUGAGGAAGUACAAUACGGAAUUGGAAUCUCGAUAGCAACAAACUGAAACACUAAUAACUGUCGCCGGGGACAACAACUUAUUAUAGUAUGUGUGGAUCGCCGUCCAAGAUAACGAGGCUAUAGCACAACAUAACAGCACAAAAUUACUCUACGGACCCUGGGCCCUAUGGAUCCUGGGCCCUAUCGACCCUGGGCCCUAUGGAUCCUGGGCCCUAUGGAUCCUGGGCCCUAUGGACCCUGAGCCCUAUGGACCCUGAACCCUAUCGACCCUGGGUCCUAUGGACCCUGAGCCCUAUCGACCCUGGGCCCUAUGGAUCCUGGGCCCUAUCGACCCUGGGCCCUAUGGAUCCUGGGCCCUAUGGACCCUGAGCCCUAUCGAUCCUGGGUCCUAUGGACCCUGGGCCCUAUGGACCCUGAGCCCUAUGGAUCCUGGGCCCUAUGGACCCUGGGCCCUAUGGAUCCUGGGCCCUAUGGACCCUGAGCCCUAUGGACCCUGGGCCCUAUGGACCCUGGGCCCUACGGACCCUGGGCCCUACCGACCCUGGGUCCUACGGACCCUGGGCCCUAUGGACCCUGAGCCCUAUGGAUCCUGGGCCCUAUGGAUCCUGGGCCCUAUGGACCCUGGGCCCUAUGGACCCUGGGCCCUAUGGACCCUGGGUCCUAUGGACCCUUGCCCCUAUGGAUCCUGGGCCCUAUGGAUCCUGGGCCCUAUGGACCCUGGGCCCUAUGGAUCCUGGGCCCUAUGGACCCUGAGCCCUAUGGACCCUGAACCCUAUGGACCCUGGGCCCUAUGGAUCCUGGGUCCUAUGGACCCUGGGUCCUAUGGACCCUGGGCCCUAUGGACCCUGGGCCCUACGGAUCCUGGGCCCUAUAUACUCUUGGCCCUAUGGACCCUGGACCCUAUGGACCCUGGUCAAAGGUAGUGCCAUUUGAGACGCAACCUUCUGCUUUGAUGUUAGGAUAAAAAACGUGUGAUUUUGAAAAUCGCUGACUGUUACUGAUGAUUAUUACUAGCAUAGACAUAGGAGUCCUAGAACGGUCAUCCCCAUUAAAGUCAGUGGGUGGACCGGCUGGGGUCUUAUUGAGUUUACCCAUGUCCUUUCUAGGGAUUCUAUUUCUAUAAUCACUACUACAGUACUGUUACUGUAGGAUGGAUAAUGUAUUCAUGUGAAAUCUGUUACAUUACUGUAAACGGCAAUGUAAAAAGUAAUGUGACUAAGGGUGGAAGUCUGCAUCUGAAAUGGCUCCCUAUUCCCUAUGUAGUGCACUACUUUUGACCAGGGUCCUAUUGGCUGAAAUGAACUACUUUGACCAGGGUCCUAUUGGCUGUAGUGCACUACUUUGACCAGGGUCCUAUUGGCUCUAGUGCACUACUUUGACCACUGCAUAUGGAAUAGGGCUCCAUUUGGACCGAUUGUUUUCUGUUUGAUCUUCAAUAAAUAUUGUUCUCUUGAUCUUGAUAUUCUAAAUAAUAAUUAAAGGAAAC